CUGACCUCAAAUCAGGUAGGACUACCCGCUGAACUUAAGCAUAUCAAUAAGCGGAGGAAAAGAAACUAACAAGGAUUCCCCUAGUAACUGCGAGUGAAGCGGGAAAAGCUCAAAUUUGAAAUCUGGCGGCCCCGCCGUCCGAGUUGUAUUCUGGAGAAGCGUCUUCCGUGCCGGACCGUGUACAAGUCCCUUGGAACAGGGCGUCGUAGAGGGUGAGAAUCCCCGUCUUUGACACGGACCCCCGGUGCUAUGUGAUGCGCUCUCGAAGAGUCGAGUUGUUUGGGAAUGCAGCUCAAAAUGGGUGGUAAAUUCCAUCUAAAGCUAAAUAUUGGCGAGAGACCGAUAGCGAACAAGUACCGUGAGGGAAAGAUGAAAAGCACUUUGGAAAGAGAGUUAAACAGUHCGURAAAUUGUUGAAAGGGAAACGCUUGAAGUCAGUCGCGUCUGCCGGAACUCAGCCUUGGCUCAUGCUUGGUGCACUUUCCCGUCUGACGGGCCAGCAUCGGUUUUGGGCGGCGGACACUGGCGAGGGGAAGGUUGCAGCUCCGGCUGUGUUAUAGCCCCCCCGUCGCAAACGUCGUCUGGGACCGAGGAAUCCGGCGCAAGCCUGGGAUGCUGGCGUAAUGGCUUUAAGCGACCCGUCUUGAAACACGGACCAAGGAGUGCUACGUGCUCGCGAGUGUKUGGGUGGAAAACCCGGACGCGCAAUGAAAGUGAAAGUCGAUMCCCUCGCGGGGGCAACGACGCCCGAGCCUGAUGUUUUCGGAAGGCCUUGCGGUAGAGCGAGUGCGUUGCGACCCGAAAGAUGGUGAACUAUUCCUGAGGAGGGCGAAGCCAGAGGAAACUCUGGUGGAGGCUCGUAGCGGUUCUGACGUGCAAAUCGAUCGCAGGACUUGG
rnacentral:rRNA from 1 species